CCUGCCAGUGAGCAGCUGCAGAGGCAACUUCCCAUUUGGCUGCCAGUUUCCUGAGGCAGAGAAGGCAGAAGUUCUGCUGCUGGCCAGAGCCACCCAUGGCUCUUGAGGUGACACAGGAAGGAACGCAGGUGACAAAUGAACAUGCUGGAGCACCUCGCUCCCCCAGCUUGCCGUGGAUAAAAAAGACCCAGGAAGCAGAGUGGUGACACCACCAAGCCUCGGAAUGAUCCAGCUUAUGGAGACGUUUGAUUAGAAAGUGCCACUGUGUCACAGCGUUCCCAUCCCACCUGCCUCUGUGAUUUUGAGGAAACUGCAGGAGAACACAUCUUUCCGGGCAAGCUGCCGUCGCUCACCAGUUGAUUCAUACACCAGAAGCUCUCACUUCUCUUUCGCUAACGAAGACCUGCUGCUUCUCCCAGGCUCUCCACUUCUGCCCUGACUCUGGGGCUGGUUUUUCACAAGAGAGUCCUGCCUCAGUUUUCCUCUCCUCCUUUUGAUAGGAAACAAGAAAAUUUGGCGUCUGAGUGUAAUACAGCUGGUUUUCCUCCCAAA